rnacentral:misc_RNA from 1 species
GAAAUGCGAUAAGUAAUGUGAAUUGCAGAAUUCAGUGAAUCAUCGAAUCUUUGAACGCACCUUGCGCUCCUUGGUAUUCCUUGGAGCAUGCCUGUUUGAGUAUCAUGAAAUCUUCAAAGUGAAUCUUUUGUUAACUCAAUUGGUUUCUACUUUGGUAUUGGAGGUCUUUGCAGCUUCACACCUGCUCCUCUUUGUUCAUUAGCUGGAUCUCAGUGUUAUGCUUGGUUCCACUCGGCGUGAUAAGUUAUCUAUCGCUGAGGACACUGUAAAAGGUGGCCAAGGUAAAUGCAGAUGAACCGCUUCUAAUAGUCCAUUGACUUGGACAAUACUUUUAUGAUCUGAUCUCAAAUCAGGUAGGACUACCCGCUGAACUUAAGC